rnacentral:tRNA from 1 species
GGGAAGGUGGCUCAGUGGUAGAGUGCUUGCCUUGCAUACAUGAGGUCCUGGGUUC